rnacentral:rRNA from 1 species
AGCGAACGUUAGCGGCGCGCCUAACACAUGCAAGUCGCACGAGAAAGGGCUUCGGCCCCGGUAAAGUGGCGCACGGGUGAGUAACACGUGGGCAACCUGCCCAACCCUGGGGGAUAACCUGCCGAAAGGCGGGCUAAUACCGCGUACGAGGGCUCGACUUCGGUCGGGUUCUGAAAGCAGGCCUCUGUACACAAGCUUGCGGGGUUGGAUGGGCCCGCGGUCCAUCAGCUAGUUGGUGAGGUAAUGGCUCACCAAGGCUACGACGGAUAGCUGGGCUGAGAGGAUGAUCAGCCACACUGGAACUGAGACACGGUCCAGACUCCUACGGGAGGCAGCAGUGGGGAAUCUUGCGCAAUGGACGAAAGUCUGACGCAGCGACGCCGCGUGGGUGACGAAGGCCUUCGGGUUGUAAAGCCCUGUGGGGCGAGACGAACAGCUUCUGGUCGAACAGGCCAGGGGUCUGACGGUAUCGCCUUAGCAAGCACCGGCUAACUCUGUGCCAGCCGCCGCCGUAACAC